GGACGACGCUGGCGGCGUGCCUAAUACAUGCAAGUCGAACGGUCUUUCUAUGGAAGCUUGCUUCCACUGAGAAGAUAGUGGCGAACGGGUGAGUAACACGUGGGUAACCUGCCCAUAAGAGGGGGAUAACAUCCGGAAACGGGUGCUAAUACCGCAUAGUUUUCUUGAUCGCAUGAUCGGGAAAGGAAAGACGGCCUUUGUGCUGUCGCUUAUGGAUGGACCCGCGGCGUAUUAGUUAGUUGGUGAGGUAAUGGCUCACCAAGACGAUGAUACGUAGCCGACCUGAGAGGGUGAUCGGCCACAUUGGGACUGAGACACGGCCCAAACUCCUACGGGAGGCAGCAGUAGGGAAUCUUCCGCAAUGGACGAAAGUCUGACGGAGCAACGCCGCGUGAGUGAAGAAAGGUUUUCGGAUCGUAAAACUCUGUUGUCAGAGAAGAACAAGUUGGAGAGUAACUGCUCCAGCCUUGACGGUAUCUGACCAGAAAGCCACGGCUAACUACGUGCCAGCCGCUGC
rnacentral:rRNA from 1 species